CUCUCGGCAACGGAUAUCUAGGCUCUCGCAUCGAUGAAGAACGUAGCGAAAUGCGAUACUUGGUGUGAAUUGCAGAAUCCCGCGAAUCAUCGAGUUUUUGAACGCAAGUUGCGCCAGAAGCCAUUCGGCUGAGGGCACGUCUGCCUGGGUGUCACGCAUCGUUGC
rnacentral:rRNA from 1 species